CAGUCGCCGCGGUAAAACGUAGGGUGCAAGCGUUAAUCGGAAUUACUGGGCGUAAAGCGUGCGCAGGCGGUUAUAUAAGACAGAUGUGAAAUCCCCGGGCUCAACCUGGGAACUGCAUUUGUGACUGUAUAGCUAGAGUACGGCAGAGGGGGAUGGAAUUCCGCGUGUAGCAGUGAAAUGCGUAGAUAUGCGGAGGAACACCGAUGGCGAAGGCAAUCCCCUGGGCCUGUACUGACGCUCAUGCACGAAAGCGUGAGGAGCAAACAGGAUUAGAUACCCCGGUAGUCCCUGUCUCUUAUAC
rnacentral:rRNA from 1 species